UACGUAGGGUGCGAGCGUUGUCCGGAAUUAUUGGGCGUAAAGAGCUCGUAGGCGGUGUGUCACGUCGUUCGUGAAAACUCACAGCUCAACUGUGGGCGUGCGGGCGAUACGGGCAGACUGGAGUACUGCAGGGGAGACUGGAAUUCCUGGUGUAGCGGUGGAAUGCGCAGAUAUCGGGAGGAACACCGGUGGCGAAGGCGGGUCUCUGGGCAGUAACUGACGCUGAGGAGCGAAAGCGUGGGGAGCGAACAGG
rnacentral:rRNA from 1 species